rnacentral:rRNA from 1 species
UACGAAGGGGGGCUAGCGUUGCUCGGAAUCACUGGGCGUAAAGGGUGCGUAGGCGGGUCUUUAAGUCAGGGGUGAAAUCCUGGAGCUCAACUCCAGAACUGCCUUUGAUACUGAGGAUCUUGAGUUCGGGAGAGGUGAGUGGAGCUGCGAGUGUAGAGGUGAAAUUCGUAGAUAUUCGCAAGAACACCAGUGGCGAAGGCGGCUCACUGGCCCGAUACUGACGCUGAGGCACGAAAGCGUGGGGGAGCAAACAGG